rnacentral:rRNA from 1 species
ACAAGCGGUGGAUGAUGUGGUUUAAUUCGAUGCAACGCGAAGAACCUUACCGUAGGCUUGACAUCCCUGGAAUUUUGUGGAAACACAAAGGUUGCCUUUCGGGGAACCAGGAGACAGGUGCUGCAUGGCUGUCGUCAGCUCGUGUCGUGAGAUGUUGGGUUAAGUCCCGGCAACCGAGCGCAACCCCUUUAUCCUUUUAAUUGCCAGCAUUCAGUUGGGCACUUUAAAGAGACUGCCGGUGUUAAACCGGAGGAAGUGGGAUGACGUCAAGUCCUCAUGGCCUUUAUGCUUAGGGCUACACACGUGCUACAAUGGGUGGUACAAAGAGAAGCCAACUCGCGAGAGCGCGCCAAUCUCAAAAAGCCAUCCUCAGUUCGGAUUGGAGUCUGCAACUCGACUCCAUGAAGUUGGAAUCGCUAGUAAUCGCGGAUCAGCAUGUCGCGGUGAAUACGUUCCCGGGUCUU